UAUUACUUCAAGCAAAGCUGAUGCAGAGAGAUGAGCCAAUUGAGCAGGAGACAAUGUAAGCAGCUGUGGGGGUGUCGAGUACUCCCUCCUGCCUGUGGGAGCUGCACCGUGGAGUCUAGCUUGUCACCCUCCGGAGGCAGAGCCCCUCCUCCCUGCCUCCUCUUGGUCUAGAUGGACAGCCAUGGCAGCGGAGGCUGCAGAGCUGAGCAGGCCCAGCUGCAGCCUCCCAGCCUUUGGAACCCUGCUUCUCCAUCUUGGCCACACAUAGGAUCACCUGAGGAGCUCAAAGUCUACAGCCCAAGGUUGGUGAGAUGGGAACCACCCAGCACAGCGGGAUCUCCUUGGAACCUAAAUCCAGUGAUGGAAUCUUAUUGUCCACAGUCUUUUGUGGUAUGUGCUACCACCGAAGAUCCUCUCCUAACCUAUCAUGUGUUCAAUACGUCUCAGCUCCUAGACUUGCUGAAGCCGACGGAAUAAAAGAACCUCUCAACACUGGGGCCAAUACUGA
ensembl:lncRNA novel transcript, antisense CACNA1S